rnacentral:rRNA from 1 species
UACGGAGGGGGCUAGCGUUGUUCGGAAUUACUGGGCGUAAAGGGUGCGUAGGCGGCUGUCCAAGUCGGGUGUGAAAGCCCCGGGCUCAACCCGGGAUGUGCAUCCGAGACUGGGCGGCUAGAGUUCGGGAGAGGUGAGUGGAAUUCCCAGUGUAGAGGUGAAAUUCGUAGAUAUUGGGAAGAACACCGGUGGCGAAGGCGGCUCACUGGACCGACACUGACGCUGAGGCA